CCCGUCUAGCUCAGUCGGUAGAGCGCAAGGCUCUUAACCUUGUGGUCGUGGGUUCGAGCCCCCCACGGUGGG
rnacentral:tRNA from 1 species